GUGUACACAAGAUAGAGCUCUAAUCAAGUCUUAUUAAACUUUACUAUUAAAUCCACCUUCAAAAGUAUUUUCCUAACUUUAUCCAUAUUACUCUUUUAAUUGUAACCCACCUCUAUCUUUUACAUUAGCUGCACCUUUACUUGAAGUCCUUGAAUUUAUCAUGUACGAAAGUUUUCUAAAGAAACCAACUGACAACAGCGGUAUACAAACUGAAUUCUAGUAAAAGUAAGGUUAAUCGUGGCUCAUCGUUUACAGGGCAGGUUCCUCUAAGUGGCUAUCUUGCCGCCAAAUCCGUUAAAUUUCAUUAAUAUUACUAUUCCAAAAAUUUUUAAUUAUGAGUA
rnacentral:rRNA from 1 species